rnacentral:misc_RNA from 1 species
AAAGUCAUAACAAGGUUUCCGUAGGUGAACCUGCGGAAGGAUCAUUAGUGAAUUGGCCUCUGGCCUUGGACGCAUACACUGUGAACCGUGGCUUCGGCCCAAACUUUCAUGUGUCGGAUGUACGAUGUCAUAACAAAACACAACUUUCAACAACGGAUCUCUUGGCUCUC